UCUACGGGAGGCAGCAGUGAGGAAUAUUGGACAAUGGGCGAAAGCCUGAUCCAGCAAUGCCGCGUGUGUGAAGAAGGCUACGGGUUGUAAAGCACUUUCAGUAGCGAAGAAAAUCUCCAUGUGAAUAGCAUGGGGCCUUGACGUUAACUACAGAAGAAGCACCGGCUAAUUCCGUGCCAGCAGCCGCGGUAAUACGGAAGGUGCGAGCGUUAAUCGGAAUUACUGGGCGUAAAGCGUAUGUAGGCGGUCUGGUAAGUCAGAUGUGAAAUCCCCGGGCUUAACCUGGGAAUUGCAUUUGAUACUGCCAAACUAGAGUACAGAAGAGGAAAGCGGAAUUCUGAAUGUAGCGGUGGAAUGCGUAGAUAUUCGGAGGAACACCAGAGGCGAAGGCGGCUUUCUGGUCUGUGACUGACGCUGAGAUGCGAAAGCGUGGGUAGCAAACAGGAUUAGAUACCCUGGUAGUCCAUGCCGUAAACGAUGUCAACUAGCUGUUUGAGCUUAUUAGCUUAAGUGGCACAGCUAACGCUUUAAGUUGACCGCCUGGGGAGUACGGCCGCAAGGUUGACACUCAAAGGAAUUGACGGGGA
rnacentral:rRNA from 1 species